UACAGAGGUGUCAAACGUUGUCCGGAAUUACUGGGCGUAAAGGGCGCGUAGGCGGCCUUAUAAGUCAUUUGUGAAAGCUCUGGGCUCAACCCAGGAAUUGCAAGUGAUACUGUAAGGCUUGAGUUCGGUAGAGGAGGGCGGAAUUCCAGGUGUAGCGGUGAAAUGCGCAGAUAUCAGGAGGAACACCAAUUGCGAAGGCAGCUCGCUGGGACGUUACUGACGCUGAGACGCGAAAGCGUGGGGAGCAAACAGG
rnacentral:rRNA from 1 species